GACGAACGCUGGCGGCGUGCCUAAUACAUGCAAGUAGAACGCUGAAGCUUGGUGCUUGCACCGAGCGGAUGAGUUGCGAACGGGUGAGUAACGCGUAGGUAACCUGCCUGGUAGCGGGGGAUAACUAUUGGAAACGAUAGCUAAUACCGCAUAAGAGUAGAUGUUGCAUGACAUUUGCUUAAAAGGUGCAAUUGCAUCACUACCAGAUGGACCUGCGUUGUAUUAGCUAGUUGGUGAGGUAACGGCUCACCAAGGCAACGAUACAUAGCCGACCUGAGAGGGUGAUCGGCCACACUGGGACUGAGACACGGCCCAGACUCCUACGGGAGGCAGCAGUAGGGAAUCUUCGGCAAUGGACGGAAGUCUGACCGAGCAACGCCGCGUGAGUGAAGAAGGGUGUCGGAUCGUAAAGCUCUGUUGUAAGAGAAGAACGAGUGUGAGAGUGGAAAGUUCACACUGUGACGGUAUCUUACCAGAAAGGGACGGCUAACUACGUG
rnacentral:rRNA from 1 species